rnacentral:tRNA from 1 species
GUCCGGGUGGCGGAAUUGGUAGACGCGCUGGCUUGAGGUGCCAGUGCCCGUUAAGGGCGUGUGGGUUCAAUUCCCAUCUCGGACACAA